rnacentral:rRNA from 1 species
AACGAACGCUGGCGGCAUGCCUAACACAUGCAAGUCGAACGAGGCCUUCGGGUCUAGUGGCGCACGGGUGCGUAACGCGUGGGAACCUGCCCUUAGGUUCGGAAUAACUCCCCGAAAGGGGUGCUAAUACCGGAUAAUGUCUUCGGACCAAAGAUUUAUCGCCUUUGGAUGGGCCCGCGUUGGAUUAGCUAGUUGGUAGGGUAAAAGCCUACCAAGGCGACGAUCCAUAGCUGGUCUGAGAGGAUGAUCAGCCACACUGGGACUGAGACACGGCCCAGACUCCUACGGGAGGCAGCAGUGGGGAAUAUUGGACAAUGGGCGAAAGCCUGAUCCAGCAAUGCCGCGUGAGUGAUGAAGGCCUUAGGGUUGUAAAGCUCUUUUACCCGGGAUGAUAAUGACAGUCCGGGAGAAUAAGCUCCGGCUAACUCCGUG